AGAGUUUGAUCCUGGCUCAGGAUGAACGCUAGCGGCAGGCUUAACCCAUGCMAGUCSAGGGGUAUAGUUCUUCGGAAUUAGAGACCGGCGCACGGGUGCGUAACGCGUAUGCMAUCUAYCUUUCMCMGAGGGAUAGCCCASAGAAAUUUGGAUUAAUACCUCMUAGUAUGCMGAGUUGGCMUCAGCCCUGCAUUAAAGUUACCACGGUGAAAGAUGAGCAUGCGUCCCCUUAGCUAGUUGGUAUGGUAACSGCUUACCAAGGCUACGAUGGGUAGGGGUCCUGAGAGGGAGAUCC
rnacentral:rRNA from 1 species